rnacentral:lncRNA from 1 species
GAAGAAAAACUGUAUUUCAAAACGUUAAAAAGCAUCCUGUGUCUCUGGAAUAAAAAUCUGACUAUAAAUCAAAGAACUUAUUAAUAAGCCUUUGACCAGUAUUCAGAGUUUUUAUGAUCCCAAAGUACUUACUGAAGAAUUAGGCAAACAAAUGAAGUUAGCAAAAUGUUAUUUUAUAGUAAGCAAAUCUAAGUCAUCAGUUCUAUUCCUACUUCAGAUGCUCCUGGAGUUAGAGAUUUAAAGUGACAUCUAGAGAAACCUCUGCACUAGAUAUAUUAGAUGAAAAUGAAGUCACUGAAAAAAAAGAAAAACAAAACAAAAUGAUGUACUACAUUCUAUCCAAUAACUGAUAAAAGUGAGGAAGGAAGGAUUUUCCUCUAAAGCUCAAAAUUUUAGCCACUGAACUAAAUAAAAAUGGGGUGAAGGUGGGACUAAUUCUCAUAUUCUGCACACAUCAUAAGCUCAAUUCCUCUCUUCAAAAUACUCAGCUGGUAUAUACUGUGUGUUUGUUCUUUGAAAAUACACAAAAGAGAGUUUGGGUAGUGGUAAAUUAAUACAUCAACAAAAGACACCCUAAAUAUAUUUAAAAUUUUUGAAAAUGGUUAGCAUCUUAUUACUUACAGCCUGUAUUUCUCUAUCUCUUCUCCUUGAGGUAAUAAGCUUUUGCAAGUAGAGAGGAAACUCCAAAUUCAUUGUAUGAACAUUUGUUGUUACAUGGCAAAACAAGAGUACCCAAACUCAGCAGCUUAAAACAACACACACUUAUUAUUUCACAGUUUCUGUGGGUCAGAGUCUAAGCAAGCCUUAGCUGGGGCCUCUUUUCGGGGUCUCACAGGCUACAAUCUCCGUGUCGACCUGGCUGAGUUCUCAUCUGAAACUCAGCUGGGGAGGGGCCUACUUCCAUGCCUACUUAUGUUGGCAGAGUUAAGUUCCUUGCAGUUGUGAGUUUCAGUGUCUUACUGGUGGCCAGCUGGUGGCUAUCCACAGUUUGCAGAAGCUGCUUGUAGUUCCUUAUUGACACGGGGUUCCCAGGGUGCCUGCUUACCUCCUCAAAAUGAGCACAGGAGAGAGAGAGCCCAGCAUGAGAGACACUACAAUCUUAUGGAACAUAGUUGCAUACAUGUAAUCACAUAUCCUGUCGCUUUUAUCCUGUUCUAUUGAUUGGAAGCAAGUCACCAUCUAUGGACAAAGGGAGGGACACACAAGGGCAUGAGGACCAGCAGGCAGGGGCCUGGAGGCCGCCUGAAGAAUAAUCUGUCUGUUCCACUCAUGUAUUUUAAUAGUUAUUGGUAGAUUCAUCUUUAGUGGGAGAGAAGGAUGACAAUAUUGACUUUAAAAGCCAAAAGAAGUCUACAUUCCACGUUUUCCCUUUUGUCCCCUCAAUAAUUGAGUACUGGCUCUUGAUGUAUUACCUUGAAAUGAUUAUAAAGGCUAGCUAUACAUUGCCUAUAAUUCAAAUUGUAAAAACAGAUUCCUUUUCAUAACAAUGUAUCUUGCUCGUCUAGUUUAGUACAGAAUCUCGUGUUCUCACGCAUUCUAGUUUUCUCAGCGCUUGCUCAAUGCCUUGAGGCUGCAAGAAGUAUGACACAGCUUUUUCAUGCACCUUUCCCUAGGAAACCCUUCAGCGGGUUCCAGGAAGCAGAGACACUGCUGCCAAACAAUGGAUUUGCUUUGCAUCUGGUAUUCCUAUGCCUCAGGAUCUAAGACAGACCAAGUAUUUGUCCCAAGAUGACCUAAUGUACCAGAUUAUGGUAAAAUGGUGAGUUCAUCUUAGUUCAACAUUUAUGCUACAGCACUCUUUCUACAGGCUUAAAUAAAUUCACGACAGUCCUUGUGAACUGUAGAUGGCAUCAGCACGAUUAUGGGUGAUGCCGUAUGUGAUUAUAUAAAGUUGAAGAGAAGGCCAAAGGCUAUCCUAAAAAGAACUCACAGUAGGUGUGACACUUGGAGUUCUUGACACUGAGUUCACCCUUCAAAAUGUAAGGCCACACCAUCCAUUUUCUAACCUACUGUUCUGCGGUGCUCAUACAAUACGAUGUAAAGAUUACUCUCAUUAUUAACCACCAACACCUCACAUCCCCAUGGCUUUCGCAUUUGCAAAACACAUUCAUCAGGAUGAUCUCAUUUCAGAGAAGCGAUAAUGGAAUCAAGGAGGGUUUCCUCCUACCACUUUUUAGACCAACAUUUAUUAUAGGUUGUGAGCUUCAUUUCUCUUUUGCAAUGGAAAUUAUAUGAUCUUUUCUUUAAAUCUCAGCUCCCAAUUAUUCCUUGGGUGAGGAAGGCUUCUGGGAGAGCCUCCUGCCUACUGUUAGUGUGUCUUUCUGCCUUUGCUUCUCCACAUGGAAGAGCUUUGUGUUAUUGUCCCUCUUACUCUGAAUGUUCCACUGUUUUCAAGUGCGUUUUUUCAGUUCACUUGCUGGAUGGGAACUUCAUCGAAGGAAGGGAUUUCAAUUGUUUUGAUUAUUUUUGGUUGAGGUUGUCCUCAAAUCCCCCUAAGAGUGCUCUUGUUCACAGAAGCAUCUGACAGAGGGUGCCCACGGUCUGACACUUAGCGCUGAUGGAAAGAUGUUCACCCUUUAGAAAGUGAUCGCCCCUACUUUCUCGACUCUGCUCCUACGGUAGGUUGGAAAAGGACAAACUUCUUUCACCACUGGUUACCCAGUAAUCAUUUUUCAGAACUAUUUGAAGUACUCUACUUAUAUUUUAAAGUGAUAGAGCUCAGCACAUUUUCUGAAAGGUGAUUUUCAAUUAUUUUAAACGACAUCAUUGUUAUCUCAACAUCUUCCAUAGAAUUCUCAGUACAUAAAAGAGAUCAUUGCUGAUGGAAGGUGAUGAGGAGUGGGGUGGGGGGAGUGGGUCUAGCCUGCCUUCCUAUCUGCCCCCAUCCUAGGACCCCCGCCCCAAAGAGAAAAUCUCUCUCCAAGGCUGUAAAUUCUGAAUCUCAUUCCCACCAACUACUUGGGAGCUGGCCACGAAGUCAGGUUGAGACGUCCCCAGUCAAUUGCUCUUUUACCUGUACAAGGUGACACUUGGCUCUGUUUUUCCAGGAAUGCUGAUCAGUUCAUGUUGAUGUAGUCACAUUAGCAUUAUGUUAAUGUUAUUGAUAUUUUCAAGGACUGUGAGAUAUCUUACAUUAGCAAUUUCCCUCAAGAAUGACAAGAGAAAGAAUGAGUUGGCUGCAUCACCCCAAGUUUAAAGGCAGGACUAAUCAAGUGACUUUCGAAAUGGUAUGUGUUAACCCAACCAUCUUCCCUGGACACACGGCAAAAUUAUAACAGCUAAGAGUUUAUGUGUGGUCUUCACAAAUACUUCAAAGCAAGUAUUUCAUCCUUCAUUGACAGUUUAAAAAACCAAGACUCAGAGAAGCUAAAUACCUUUGCUGAGGUCACACGCCUGGAAAAGGGUAAUGCUGGCAUCUGAAUCCAGAUCGGUCUCGCUCCAAGACACAUACUCUUUCUGGAUUUCACACUAAGGAGGGAUGUGCUGCCCUUUUGGAGGAGCUUGUUCUAAAACCCGGAUUUAGGAGUUCCUGUCGUGGCUCAGUGGUUAACGAAUCCGACUGGGAACCAUGGGGUUGUUUCACAGAGUUCCUGUCGUGGCUCAGUGGUUAACGAUUCCGACUAGGAACCAUGAGGUUGUGGGUUUGGUCCCUGGCCUUGCUCAGUGGGUUAAGGACCCGGUUGCCGUGAGCUGUGGUGUAGGUCGCAGACGCGGCUCAGAUUAUGCAUUGCCGUGGCUGUUAAGGGCAGGAGGAUGUGUUUGUGGCUAGAGCAGCUGUCCAUCCAAGACUUCAGAGGCCCA